GACGAACGCUGGCGGCGUGCUUAACACAUGCAAGUCGAACGGAAAGGCCCCUUUGGGGGUACUCGAGUGGUGAACGGGUGAGUAACACGUGAGUAACCUGCCCUUGACUUCGGGAUAACUUCAGGAAACUGGGGCUAAUACCAGAUAGGAAUCCUUGCUGCAUGGUGGGGGUUGGAAAGCUUCGGCGGUUUUGGAUGGACUCGCGGCUUAUCAGCUUGUUGGUGGGGUAGUGGCUUACCAAGGCUUUGACGGGUAGCCGGCCUGAGAGGGCGACCGGCCACAUUGGGACUGAGAUACGGCCCAGACUCCUACGGGAGGCAGCAGUGGGGAAUAUUGCACAAUGGGCGGAAGCCUGAUGCAGCAACGCCGCGUGCGGGAUGACGGCCUUCGGGUUGUAAACCGCUUUCAGCAGGGGCGAAGCUUGUGGUGACGGUACCUGCAGAAGAAGCACCGGCUAACUACGUG
rnacentral:rRNA from 1 species